rnacentral:rRNA from 1 species
AUUGAACGCUGGCGGCAGGCUUAACACAUGCAAGUCGAGCGGGGUGAUGGCGCUUGCACUAUCACUUAGCGGCGGACGGGUGAGUAAUGCUUAGGAAUCUGCCUAUUAGUGGGGGACAACAUCUCGAAAGGGAUGCUAAUACCGCAUACGUCCUACGGGAGAAAGCAGGGGAUCACUUGUGACCUUGCGCUAAUAGAUGAGCCUAAGUCGGAUUAGCUAGUUGGUGGGGUAAAGGACUACCAAGGCGACGAUCUGUAGCGGGUCUGAGAGGAUGAUCCGCCACACUGGGACUGAGACACGGCCCAGACUCCUACGGGAGGCAGCAGUGGGGAAUAUUGGACAAUGGGGGGAACCCUGAUCCAGCCAUGCCGCGUGUGUGAAGAAGGCCUUAUGGUUGUAAAGCACUUUAAGCGAGGAGGAGGCUCUUUUGGUUAAUACCCAAGGUGAGUGGACGUUACUCGCAGAAUAAGCACCGGCUAACUCUGUGCCAGCCGCCGCCGUAA